UACAGAGGGUGCAAACGUUGUUCGGAAUCACUGGGCAUAAAGCGUACGUAGGCGGCCCCGUAAGUGUCUGAUGAAAUCCCACGGCUUACCCGUGGAACGGUCAGGCAUACUGCGGGGCUAGAGGAUGGUAGAGGAGAGCGGAACUCUUGGUGGAGCGGUGAAAUGCGUAGAUAUCAAGAGGAACACCGGUGGCGAAGGCGGCUCUCUGGUCCAUGUCUGACGCUGAGGUACGAAAGCUAGGGGAGCAAACGGG
rnacentral:rRNA from 1 species